rnacentral:rRNA from 1 species
AUUGAACGCUGGCGGCAGGCCUAACACAUGCAAGUCGAACGGUAGCACAGGAGAGCUUGCUCUCUGGGUGACGAGUGGCGGACGGGUGAGUAAUGCAUGGGGAGCUGCCCAAUCGAGGGGGAUACCAGCUGGAAACGGCUGCUAAUACCGCAUACGCCCUGAGGGGGAAAGGUGGGGACCUUCGGGCCUACCGCGCUAGGAUGCAUCCAUAUGGGAUUAGCUAGUUGGUGAGGUAACGGCUCACCAAGGCGACGAUCUCUAGCUGGUCUGAGAGGAUGACCAGCCACACUGGAACUGAGCCACGGUCCAGACUCCUACGGGAGGAAGCAGUGGGGAAUAUUGGACAAUGGGGGAAACCCUGAUGCAGCCAUGCGGCGUGUGUGAAGAAGGCCUUCGGGUCGUAAAGCACUUUCAGUGGGGAGGAAGGGGCGAUGCCUAAUACGCAUUGUCAUUGACGUUACCCACAGAAGAAGCACCGGCUAACUCCGUGCCAGCAGCCGCCGUAACAC